ACUUGCCACUGGGCUCCGCGAUGGCCACAGCCCAAGCCGGUUACAACUCCCCCAGCUUACUUGGUCCCUCCCUCCUUCUCUCUACCAGUAGUCAUUCCCCACAGUACUGAUGAGUACUGAACUUGAAUAAAAAAUGGGAACAAUUCACUUAUAUCAGACGCUAAAGCGGUGUUGUGAAUCUGGACCAUUUUCCUUCCAUUAACUCUUAGAAGGAC